CAGAAAAAAAUAAAUAAAUUACUUUAAGUCAAACGAACUGAUUGUUGCUUUGUGUCAAACGCAAAUUUGACGUGAACUAGGAUGAAAAUUUCUAGUCAGUUAUUUGACAAUUUGAUGUUGUUUAUUUUAUAACAAUAUUUUCAACAACAAGGAUUAUCUCAAAGGAUAAGCUAAUCUCCAACCACAGGUUCGGCAGUGCGAGCUGAGACAGAAAAGGACGAGGAAGGACUCUUUUUCAAGUUGUUGAAACCAUCUGCUCUUUUUUGUAAAUGUUCCAGAUUAUUGUCUUUGUGCGAUUAAUUUGUUCGAACACAGAAAGUGUGGCUCAAGUGAGAAAAUAAGCAAGACCUCCUUGACUUGGUAAGUACAAUUUAAGGUUUAUGUUUUAUAGUGCCUAUUUUUAAAAAUUAUGUCAAAUAUAUACACGAAGAGUGAAACUGCCGUUUCAACAACCCUGUCAAUGAAAAAUUUAGAAAAAAGUUG